rnacentral:rRNA from 1 species
UACGGAGGGUGCGAGCGUUAUCCGGAAUUACUGGGUUUAAAGGGUGCGUAGGCGGCCAUGUAAGUCAGGAGUGAAAGUUUGCGGCUCAACCGUAAAAUUGCUUUUGAUACUGCAUGGCUGGAAUCAGGAUGAGGUCAGCGGAAUGUGGCAUGUAGCGGUGAAAUGCAUAGAUAUGCCAUAGAACACCAAUUGCGAAGGCAGCUGGCUAGACCUGUAUUGACGCUGAGGUGCGAAAGCGUGGGGAGCAAACAGG